GGGAUUUAGUUCUCCCUUCAGUCAUCCUUCCUGGAGGGGAGAUCUGGCCCCUGUGGCUUUCAUGGUGACUGCCUCCUGCAGCCUAACCAUUAGGGGCACAUAGGAGAGGGUGGCUAUUUUGUGGGGAGACCACUGUUCAAAAGCCCCCGCUAUACCCUUUGUGUCUCUGCUGUGUUGCCUGCCAGCAGCAAUGUCUGAUGCCUCCAUUUGGCAGCCACAGGCUGUGAGGUCAUCUUUUCACCACUUGCUAUUUCCUGCAGCAUUCAAACUCUCUGGCAGUGACUCAGUGUUUACAAUCACAUUAACCUGUGAGGAACGCCGUGGCUGUGUCGAAGAACAAGGCCCUUGCUGGCACCAAGGAGGAGAGAAGAUUAAAGGAAAUUUAAAGAUGUGAUUCCAGCCUUCCAAGAGAUGACUCAGAGUGAAAUGACUCUGGAACAACUGGAAGUAGCCCAUGAGCCAGGGCAAAGGAAUAUAAUGUGGAUUAAAGCACCAGGGAACAGUAGAGGGUUAAACACAUGAGUUCUGAAUAUACACAGUUCAUCUAGAAGGAUGUCAUAAAUGGGUGUGACUUUUGAGUCAGGGUCUAAAAAUUAUGAAUGACUGUUUUUCACCUCAUCUACCAGAAGCGUUGAAUUAUGUUGCUAUACUUCCAUCAGCCUACCUCUGUGACUAGUGGACUGAGAGUUGAAAAUGUAUUUUUCUUAUCCUUGAAAAUAUGAUGUGUUGGAGAUUGCUGACGGGCGUGAUCAUGUUUUGACUGAAAAACCAGGUGGUUUGGUUUGGGACCUGAUUUCAGAUGUUUGAUAACUAGAGCCUUAACACAUUUCUUUUCCUUAUUAUUUCGGAGAGUACUACAAAGCUGGGAGACAGUGCUAUUAACAGUUAGGAAGAUGUGCAUAAGGCUUGCUAGUAUGGAGACAAGUAAACCAGUAAGCGGGAGACAUUUGGAGCAACUUUUACAACUAAAAUAUGAACUCAUUUCUGGCCCUAGGAACAAUCGCUAAGAACAGAAAUCCAGUUUUUACUAGUGUGAAGAAUCCUCAGAGGUUGGUUGAAUGAGAAAUUUCUUAAUGUCAAGUUCUAGAGUGGGUGAUCAGCUAGAGAAGGAGGGAUAUGGAAAGAGACCUGGUUUUACGUGUCACCAGCAGGCUGGCUUUAUCACUCCAUACUUUACUAUUCAUCUUUACACAAUUAAAAUAACACAACGUAUUUGCACAUGAAAUGUAUACAAAAGCACUUGGUCAUUUGAAAAAAAUUCUGCAGUCACAAGAUACCAUUAUAUUCAUGCCCUAAGUCCUUGGUAUUCAAUUCCAGGUCAGUGAAACUCACAUAUGCUUGUAAAAGUUCAUCUAUGUUCUUACAUAUUUAUAAUUACUGUCUUAGUCCAUUGG
rnacentral:lncRNA from 13 species